rnacentral:tRNA from 1 species
GGUUGUAGCUCAGUGGUAGAUCACUUGCCUAGCAUGUGUGAGGCACUGGGUUCGAAUCUCAGCACCA